rnacentral:rRNA from 1 species
UGGGGCCUGUGUAUGCAAGUCUAGAACGAAACGAGUUAUCUGAACCUUCUCUGAACGAUAACGGCGUCCAGCGUUGGAGGGGUGAAUAUGGCCAACGAAAUUGCCCUGAUGAGGGGGAUAACCAUUGUAAAUCAUGGUCAAUAGCUCAUGAUGCCUAGUGGCCAAAGAUGGGGACCUUCGGACCUCUCGCGUCAGGAUAUGCCGAUGAGGGAUUAUCUACCUGGUGAUCCUCCGACUCAACCCCGGGACUAUCCCUAGCUGGUCUGAGAGGAUGAUCUGCCACACUGGAACUGAGACUGCGCUCGUACUCCUACUGGAGGCAGCAUCGGGGAAUAUUGCAUGAUGAGCGCCAUGCUGAUGCUGCCAUGCCACGUGUGUGAAGAAGGCCUUUCUCUUGAAAACUCCUUUUCCAUGUGAGGAAGGUAGUGUCGUUAAUAGCGGCAUUACUUGACUCUACCGGCUCAACAACUUGUGGCUAACUCCGUGCCUUCCUUUGCGGUAAUACCUAGGGUGCGAACGCUCCUCGCAAUUACUGUACGUAGUUCGCAUGCGCGUGGUUUGUUAGGAAUGAUGUGAAAGCCCGGUACUCACCCUCGGAAUAGCAUUUGACACUGGUAUACUAGACUACUGUAUACGCACGUAGAAUUUCC